UGAACGCUGGCGGCGUGCCUACUACAUGCACGUCGAGCGACCAGACGAGGAGCUUGCUCCUCUGACGUUAGCGGCGGACGGGUGAGUAACACGUGGAUAACCUACCUAUAAGACUGGGAUAACUUCGGGAAACCGGAGCUAAUACCGGAUAAUAUAUUGAACCGCAUGGUUCACUAGUGAAAGACGGUUUUGCUGUCACUUAUAGAUGGAUCCGCGCCGCAUUAGCUAGUUGGUAAGGUAACGGCUUACCAAGGCAACGAUGCGUAGCCGACCUGAGAGGGUGAUCGGCCACACUGGAACUGAGACACGGUCCAGACUCCUACGGGAGGCAGCAGUAGGGAAUCUUCCGCAAUGGGCGAAAGCCUGACGGAGCAACGCCGCGUGAGUGAUGAAGGUCUUCGGAUCGUAAAACUCUGUUAUUAGGGAAGAACAAAUGUGUAAGUAACUAUGCACGUCUUGACGGUACCUAAUCAGAAAGCCACGGCUAACUACGUG
rnacentral:rRNA from 1 species